rnacentral:rRNA from 1 species
AGGUUGGCUCAGAAGCAGCCAUCCUUUAAAGAGUGCGUAACAGCUCACUAGUCGAAUGACUCUGCGCCGAUAAUUUACCGGGGCUAAGCAUACUACCGAAGCUAUGGAUCCCAAGGGAUGGUAGGGGAGCGUUCCAUGAACGGAGAAGUACGACCGAAAGGACGUGUGGAGAUCAUGGAAGAGAGAAUGCCGGUGUGAGUAGCGGAACGUGGGUGAGAAUCCCACGCACCGAAAACCCAAGGUUUCCAGAGGAAGGUUCGUCCGCUCUGGGUAAGUCGGGACCUAAGGCGAGGCCGAAAGGCGUAGUCGAUGGACAACAGGUAGAGAUUCCUGUACCCGUAUAUAUGUGAAGGAAUGACGGAGAGAGGAAGCUGCAGCCAGCGGCUGGAAGAGCUGGUGCAAGCGAGAUAUCGGGAUGGCAGGCAAAUCCACCAUCCGAAACGAGAAGGCGUGAAGCGUACGGAAAGCUACGGCGAGUACGGAAGGCAGUGGAGGAACUUCCAAGAAAAGUUUCUAACGUUAAGUAUAUAUGGCCCGUACCGAAAAUGGACACACAUGGGUGAGGAGAGAAUCCUAAGGUGAGCGAGAGAACUAUAGCUAAGGAACUCUGCAAAAUGACUCCGUAACUUAGGGAGAAGGAGUGCUCAUAGAGAUAUGAGCCGCAGUGAAACGGCCCAAGCGACUGUUUACCAAAAACACAGCUCUCUGCUAAGCCGCAAGGCGAAGUAUAGGGGGUGACGCCUGCCCGGUGCUGGAAGGUUAAGGGGAGGGGUUAACGCAAGUGAAGCCCUGAACUGAAGCCCCAGUAAACGGCGGCCGUAACUAUAACGGUCCUAAGGUAGCGAAAUUCCUUGUCAGGUAAGUUCUGACCCGCACGAAAGGCGUAACGAUUUGGGCGCUGUCUCAGCUGUAGACUCGGUGAAGUCUUAGUACCUGUGAAGAUGCAGGUUACCCGCGACUAGACGGAAAGACCCCAUGGAGCUUCACUGCAGGUUGAUAUUGGGAUUUGAUGCAGCAUGUACAGGAUAGGUAGGAGGCAAAGAGAUGGAUACGCCAGUAUUCAAGGAGCCGCUGUUGGGAUACUACCCCUGUUGUAUUGGAUUUCUAACCGGACGACGUAGAACCGUUGACGGGACAGUGUCAGUCGGGCAGUUUGACUGGGGCGGUCGCCUCCCAAAGAGUAACGGAGGCGCCCAAAGAUACCCUCAGCUUGGAUGGAAACCAAGCGCAGAGUGCAAAGGCAAAAGGGUGUUUGACUGCGAGACCCACAAGUCGAGCAGGGACGAAAGUCGGGCUUAGUGAUCCGGCGGUGCUGAAUGGAAA